rnacentral:rRNA from 1 species
GACGAACGCUGGCGGCGUGCUUAACACAUGCAAGUCGAACGGAAAGGCCCUGCUUUUGUGGGGUGCUCGAGUGGCGAACGGGUGAGUAACACGUGAGUAACCUGCCCUUGACUUUGGGAUAACUUCAGGAAACUGGGGCUAAUACCGGAUAGGAGCUCCUGCUGCAUGGUGGGGGUUGGAAAGUUUCGGCGGUUGGGGAUGGACUCGCGGCUUAUCAGCUUGUUGGUGGGGUAGUGGCUUACCAAGGCUUUGACGGGUAGCCGGCCUGGGAGGGUGACCGGGCACAAGGGGAAUAAGAGACGGGCCAGGACGCUAAGGGGGGCAAGAGGGGGGAAAAUUGGACAAUGGGGCGGAGGCUGAGGCAACGACCGCCGGGGGGGGAUGAAGGGCCUGGGGGUGGGAACCCCUUUCCCCUGUGACCGAGGGGGAGGGACGGUAAAGGGUAAAAAAGCAACGGCUAACUACGUG